rfam:Triticum aestivum genome assembly, contig: Triticum_aestivum_CS42_TGACv1_scaffold_423780_5BS
GUAGUAUUCCCUCCGUCCCAAAAUUCUUGUCUUACAUUUGUUUAGAUACGGAUGUAUCUAACACUAAAAUGUAACUAGAUACAUCCGUAUUUAGAAAAUUUUAAGAUAAGAAUUUUGGGAUGGAGGGAGUACAAA